rnacentral:rRNA from 1 species
UACGGAGGGUGCAAGCGUUGUUCGGAAUUACUGGGCGUAAAGAGUGCGUAGGCGGCUUAGCAAGUUGGGAGUGAAAUCCCGGGGCUCAACCUCGGAAUUGCUCUCAAAACUGCUGAGCUAGAGUAUGGUAGGGGAUAGUGGAAUUCCUAGUGUAGGGGUGAAAUCCGUAGAUAUUAGGAGGAACACCAGAGGCGAAGGCGACUAUCUGGGCCAUUACUGACGCUAAGGUACGAAAGCGUGGGGAGCAAACAGG